CCUAAAGUAAGAAGUGCGCACACUGCACUGCGCAGCGCACAUCUGGAAAGCUCCGCCCCCAUCACCCAUAUAUAUCUAUGCCCAUCACCGAGUCAUUGACAUAUGCACCGAGCAAAAGACAGAAGUCUUCCCUGCUACUUUGCCGCCUUUGAGUAGCUAGUACUGUCUGCUGUCCGACAAGGAUCCUCGCAAGUUCAAGACGGUGUCGUGUGGACAAAAGGCAGGCUAACCGGACCUGUCCUAUCUGUCGAGCCGAUGCUUCUGAGGUCCAGCGUGAUUCUGAGUGACCUCAUUUCAACACCCAACAUCUGCAAUCCCUGACUCCCUUUUGGAUGUGUCACUACCCGAGAUGCUACAAGCAUGUUCAAUGCAACAUUUGCCGGUGCCCUAUGCCUUUCCCUCGCUGCUCCAGUGACCCUCAGUUCCUGCUUCCCCAUCCGCAACCUCUCUCACCACCCGCCCCACCUCCCCGCACGCAAGAAUACACACACAGAAAUUAAAAUUGACUGAUACUGUUCAACUGCAAUUAUAAUGACUCUAUUAGAAACAACAACUUCUGCUAGCCAAGAUGUCAAUGCUUAAUUAUAACCAGAUGUAAUAACAAUGAAAUAGUCAAAAUCUUUGGACAGCCAAUUUUCCUAAAUGUUUGUUGGUACCACUAUACAGGCGUCUUUUCAAACUCUUUCAUUCUGUCCAGGGCUCAUAAACACACACACACUCACACUCACACACACACACACACACACACACACACACACACACACACACACACACACACACACACACACACACACACACACAUAUUCACAGCCUGCAGAGAGUGGCAACACCUGCUUGUGAAUCGGCGAGGAAUAAAGUGGGGAUAGGGCUGUGAAAGAUGGGACAAAGAAAGGAAAAUCUAUUUAUUCCACCGAGUGUAAAGGCUCCCCCUUUCCUUUCUUUUUUUUACCAUAAUCGUAUAUUAUGCAUCCAUGUUGUUAUGUUGGACACUUUUUGUUGUUGGUACAAUAGCAAUUACCUCAGUCCCACUAUUUAUGUCUUUUCAGAAAAUGGCGCGACCAGUAUGAGUGCUUAUGAAUUAAUUUUGCUAAUCUUUUCCAUGCAAGCUGUUGGGUUGUUUUGAAUAGUUUUCCUUUUAAACUUUAUGAAACUAUCAAUAAAAUGGCAUCAUAGUAGUUUCAUUAUGUAUUAUAUCUGUAACCAAAAUCGUUUGAAGGCCUGUUAUGAUGAUAAUGACAUUUUUAACAAACAUUUGUACAUUUUGUAUGAGAGUUAUUACUAGUAAUACUUUAUUAAGUAGUGCAAUGUUUUUUUUUUUUAAAUCCCUUACCCUGUCUUUUGGAUUUCAAAAGCUGGUUCAAUAAUAAAUGUAUAACAUCUUCUAAAACAUUGUGUU